rnacentral:rRNA from 1 species
GACGAACGCUGGCGGCGUGCCUAAUACAUGCAAGUCGAACGCUUCUUUCCUCCCGAGUGCCUGCACUCAAUUGGAAAGAGGAGUGGCGGACGGGUGAGUAACACGUGGGUAACCUACCCAUCAGAGGGGGAUAACACUUGGAAACAGGUGCUAAUACCGCAUAACAGUUUAUGCCGCAUGGCAUAAGAGUGAAAGGCGCUUUCGGGUGUCGUUGAUGGAUGGACCCGCGGUGCAUUAGCUAGUUGGUGAGGUAACGGCUCACCAAGGCCACGAUGCAUAGCCGACCUGAGAGGGUGAUCGGCCACACUGGGACUGAGACACGGCCCAGACUCCUACGGGAGGCAGCAGUAGGGAAUCUUCGGCAAUGGACGAAAGUCUGACCGAGCAACGCCGCGUGAGUGAAGAAGGUUUUCGGAUCGUAAAACUCUGUUGUUAGAGAAGAACAAGGACGUUAGUAACUGAACGUCCCCUGACGGUAUCUAACCAGAAAGCCACGGCUAACUACGUG